rnacentral:tRNA from 1 species
GAGAGUAUAGCUCAGUGGUGGAGUGCAUGCCUAGCAUGCAUGAGGUCCUGGGUUCAAUCCCCAGUACCUCCA